UCCCUGGUGGCUCAGAGGUUAAAGCGUCUGCCUGCAAUGCGGGAGACCCGGGUUCGAUUCCUGGAUCGGGAA
rnacentral:tRNA from 1 species